CAUGCAAGAAGCAGAGACCACUUCUCCCUUACACUGCCCCACGUCCAGAGCAGCUCUGUCUCAUUAAAUACCAGGAAAGUGAGAAAUGCCACCACAUUAAGAGUGUUUUCCAUCAGUUAACAACCACAAUCAAAGCAGGAACAUUUGGAGAAGCUGAAGCACUUUGCCACAGGCAGGAACGUCUCAGUGCCCUUUGGAGUUCUGCAGGAAAAUGAAGAGACAAGCCAGUUCACACCUGAGUGAUGUUUGACUUUACAAGGAAUUAAUGCAAUAAAUCAUUAUUUCUGCACAAA